rnacentral:rRNA from 1 species
AGAGUUUGAUCAUGGCUCAGGAUGAACGCUAGCGGCAGGCUUAACACAUGCAAGUCGAGGGGCAUCGGGAGGGAAGCUUGCUUUCCUUGCCGGCGACCGGCGCACGGGUGAGUAACACGUAUGCAACCUGCCCUCUUCAGGGGGACAACCUUCCGAAAGGGAGGCUAAUCCCGCGUAUAUCGGUUUCGGGCAUCCGAGAUCGAGGAAAGAUUCAUCGGAAGAGGAUGGGCAUGCGGCGCAUUAGCUAGACGGCGGGGUAACGGCCCACCGUGGCGACGAUGCGUAGGGGUUCUGAGAGGAAGGUCCCCCACACUGGUACUGAGACACGGACCAGACUCCUACGGGAGGCAGCAGUGAGGAAUAUUGGUCAAUGGGAGAGAUCCUGAACCAGCCAAGCCGCGUGAGGGAAGACGGCCCUAUGGGUUGUAAACCUCUUUUGUCGGAGAACAAAACCCGGGACGAGUCCCGGACUGCGUGUAUCCGAAGAAAAAGCAUCGGCUAACUCCGUGCCAGCAGCCGCGGUAAUACGGAGGAUGCGAGCGUUAUCCGGAUUUAUUGGGUUUAAAGGGUGCGUAGGCGGUCCGUUAAGUCAGCGGUAAAAUUGCGGGGCUCAACCCCGUCGAGCCGUUGAAACUGGCAGACUUGAGUUGGCGAGAAGUACGCGGAAUGCGCGGUGUAGCGGUGAAAUGCAUAGAUAUCGCGCAGAACUCCGAUUGCGAAGGCAGCGUGCCGGCGCCAGACUGACGCUGAGGCACGAAAGCGUGGGGAUCGAACAGGAUUAGAUACCCUGGUAGUCCACGCAGUAAACGAUGAAUGCUGGUUGUCCGGGUCGAAUGAGAUCUGGGCGGCGAAGCGAAAGCGAUAAGCAUUCCACCUGGGGAGUACGCCGGCAACGGUGAAACUCAGAGGAAUUGACGGGGGCCCGCACAAGCGGAGGAACAUGUGGUUUAAUUCGAUGAUACGCGAGGAACCUUACCCGGGCUCAAACGGGAGUGGAAUGGACCAGAGACGGUUCAGCCUACGGGCCGCUUCCGAGGUGCUGCAUGGUUGUCGUCAGCUCGUGCCGUGAGGUGUCGGCUUAAGUGCCAUAACGAGCGCAACCCCCGCCGGCAGUUGCUAACGGGCAAUGCCGAGGACUCUGCCGGGACUGCCGCCGCAAGGCGUGAGGAAGGCGGGGAUGACGUCAAAUCAGCACGGCCCUUACGUCCGGGGCGACACACGUGCUACAAUGGGCGGUACAGCGGGAAGCCACCUGGCGACAGGGAGCGGAACCCGAAAGCCUGUCUCAGUUCGGAUUGGAGUCUGCAACCCGACUCCAUGAAGCUGGAUUCGCUAGUAAUCGCGCAUCAGCCACGGCGCGGUGAAUACGUUCCCGGGCCUUGUACACACCGCCCGUC